rnacentral:tRNA from 1 species
GCAGUGGUGGCUCAGUGGUAGAAUUCUCACCUUCCAUGCAAGAGACCUGGGUUUGAUUCCCAGCCAGUGCA